GAGACUUGUAGAUGCCAACACCUUAUUGAGACUUGUUGAUCAGCCUGACUAACCCAACACCUUAUUGAGACUUGUUGAUCAGCCUGACUAACCCAACACCUUAUUGAGACUUGUUGAUCAGCCUGACUAACCCAACACCUUAUUGAGACUUGUUGAUCCCAACACCUUAUUGAGACUUGCCGAUCAGCCUGACUAACCCAACACCUUAUUGAGACUUGUUGAUCCCAACACCUUAUUGAGACUUGUUGAUCAGCCUGACUAACCCAACACCUUAUUGAGGCUUGUUGAUCCCAACACCUUAUUGAGACUUGUUGAUCAGCCUGACUAACCCAACACCUUAUUGAGACUUGUUGAUCCCAACACCUUAUUGAGACUUGCUGAUCAGUCUGACUAACCCAAUAGCGUAUGGCUCAAGAGGUUCAAUAAUAUAAUAACACCUACUAACCAACAGAUAAAGUGCCAACAAGGAAAAAGUGGUCUCUGCUGAACGCAGAAGGCUACAGUCAAAUUAUCCUAUAUUUGGCCCAAAUGACACCCUGUUCCCUAUAAAGUGCACUACUUUUGAACUGGUCAUUUAGGGUGCCAUUUGGGAUUUAGCCAGAAGGAUAUAAUAAUGUGUAUUACAUUCAUUUAAAUAAAUUUAACUAAAGACAACAGGUCUCUCCCUAGACUAGUUACUGGUUACAGACAACAUGUCUCUCCCUAGACUAGUUACUGGUUACAGACAACAGGUCUCUCCCUAGACUAGUUAUAGGUUACAGACAACAGGUCUCUCCCUAGACUAGUUACUGGUUACAGACAACAGGUCUCUCCCUAGACUAGUUACUGGUUACAGACAACAGGUCUCUCCCUAGACUAGUUAUAGGUUACAGACAACAGGUCUCUCCCUAGACUAGUUAUAGGUUACAGACAACAGGUCUCUCCCUAGACUAGUUAC
ensembl:lncRNA